ACAAAUACAUGUAUGAUAAAGGAAAGGCUGGAAAAUAAUGUAAAAUGUUGUCAUGCUGAAAAAUGUAAUUAAAUUUGUGAAGAAAACUUUAAAUCAGAUGUAAAAAUAUUUAUGAGAGGGACUUUGAGUUACACUUGAAAACACUGUCAGUGAGGUUUUUUGGGUUUUUUUGGCAGUGGGGUUCCUCUGAUUCGCAGGAUUUACAGUGAAACAAACACACACACACACACACACAUUGUUUAAUGGUCAACAAAGACAACAAAAAGUUAAAAAAAAAAAAUCAAAGAGCGCACGCUCAAGAAAUGAAUGCUUUUCCUCAAAAGCUACUCUCAAAUAAAGUGAAAACGCACAGAAGCAAAAUGUGUCAAUUUUAAAUUAUAAUUCACACAAACCGCAACAAUCACUUCAAAUACAUUAUUGCUGCUUUUUAACAAAUAAAAUAAAUGACUGCACUGAAUUUUCUGAGGAACGUUCAUAUGAUCUCUGUGUGUGUGUGUGUGUGUGCGUGUGUGUGUGUGUGUGUGUGUGUGUGUGUGUGUGUGUGUGUGUGCGUGUGUGUGUGUGUGUGUGUUUGAACGUCCUGAACUCCACAUGCUGCUUUUAUGAUUUCCAUAUUUCAUACAAUUACAGGUCAACAUAUUUUUUGUUGUUGUGUCUCUUUAUUUUGAUUCUCUUUUCUCUCAUAGUUGAAAAAAAACAACAACUUUUCAUUUUAGUUGAUUUUUCACCACAAAUAUCACUUUGGGUUUAAUUUAGACAUUUAUAAAACUCUAAUUCUCUUCAGUUCUGAUAAUAUAACAUCUGCAGGGCAAAGCGAUGUUCAUUUUUAACAAAAGAAAACAUAUUUUUUAUAUUGUGUUUGCGUGUUUUAUGAGUUUUUCCUGUUUCCUUUGUUCUAAGUCGUCUUUAUCUUUAAAGAGAUUCAUUCAAUUACCCAGAAUUGAUCAUUUCAUUUAUCAGAUGCAACAAUGUUACAUAAACUGAGUUCAUUUCUGUUGUCUGCAGCCUCAACAGUAAACUUCAAAUGUAAACAAGGGUUGAGUUCAUCAGAGAGAAUCAUAUUUUCUUUUAUAAUCAGUCGGUUUUCUCAGACGACGGUUUUCUGUCAGCUUUACGGUUGGCCAUUUUCUGCCAGACUGCAGCGCUUCUUGAAACUCUCUCAGAACCGGGCCGUCCAUGACGGAACCGGACAACGAAACUCGUAAAACAAAAGAUGCUCACCGUCUACAGUCUGCGCCCUCUGCUGCGCUCAGAUUCAAACCCUCUAAACUCAAACCCGAGGACGGCAAAUAAAAAGCCAGGAGGCGCGUGUGAGCCACGUUUUCCUGCCCUCCCGUCAAAAGGUCGUGAACUCCGAAACAGGAAGCGGGACGACGUCUACUGAACUGCUCAACAGGUUGGAGUUAGGGAUCGGGCCUGCGAUGUGUCAGGAAAAGCAAAAUUUCAA